GCCAAGCAUUGUGGCGGGCGCCUGUAGUCCCAGCUACUUGGGAGGCUGAGGCAGGAGACUCACUUGAGCCCAGGAGUUGGAGGUUGCUGUGAGCAUGAUGCCAUGGCACUCUACCCAGGGGGAUAGCUUGAGGCUCCGUCUCAAAAAAAAAAAAAAACAAAAAAACAAAAGGGAAAAAGAUUUUUCCAAUUAACCUUUGUGUAUUCUUUUUUUUUUGAGACAGAGCCUCAAGCUUUCCCCCUGGGUAGAGUGCUGUGGCAUCACAGCUCACAGCAACCUCCAACUCCUGGGUUCAAACGAGUCUCCUGCCUCCA
rnacentral:SRP_RNA from 1 species